AACCUGCCCACUGAGGAUUUAAAUGGCCGCGGUAUUUUGACCGUGCAAAGGUAGCAUAAUAAUUAGUUUUUUAAUUGAAAGCUGGAAUGAAAGGUUGGAUGAGAAAAUGACUGUCUCUAUUUAGAUUAAUUAAAAUUUUAUUUUUAAGUAAAAAAGCUUAAAUAAAAAUAGAAGACGAGAAGACCCUAUAGAGUUUUAAUUUAGUUGGGGUGAUUGAAAAAUUUAAUAAACUUUUUUUGUAUAAAACCAUUGAUUUAUGAGUAAUUGAUCCUUUAUUAAAGAUUAAAAGAAAAAAUUACCUUAGGGAUAACAGCGUAAUUUUUUUAGAGAGUUCAAAUCGAAAGAAAAGAUUGCGACCUCGAUGUUGGAUUAAAAUUAAGUCUUGGUGUAGAAGCUAA
rnacentral:rRNA from 1 species